AACGGCCGUACCAUGCUGAAUAUACCGGUUCUCGUUAGAUCACCGAAGUCAAGCAUCAUUGGGCGCGGUCAGUACUUGGGUGGGUGACCACCUGGGAACACCGAGUGCCGUU
rnacentral:rRNA from 1 species